rnacentral:rRNA from 1 species
UACGGGGGGAGCAAGCGUUGUUCGGAUUUACUGGGCGUAAAGGGCGCGUAGGCGGCCAGCACAAGUCAGUUGUGAAAUCUCCGAGCUUAACUCGGAAAGGUCAACUGAUACUGUGCGGCUAGAGUGCGGAAGGGGCAACUGGAAUUCUUGGUGUAGCGGUGAAAUGCGCAGAUAUCAGGAGGAACACCAAUGGCGAAGGCAGCUCGCUGGGACGGUACUGACGCUGAGGCGCGAAAGCGUGGGGAGCAAACAGG